rnacentral:tRNA from 1 species
GCUUAGUUAGCUCUGAGGGUAGCGCGUCUGCCUUGUAAGCACAAGCUCGCAAGUUCGAUUCCCGCAUGGGGCG